rnacentral:lncRNA from 1 species
UUUUUUUUUUUUUUAGGGCCGGAUCCAUAGCACAUGGAAGUUCCCAGGCUAAGGGUCCAAUCAGCUAUAGCUGCCGGACUACGCCACAGCCAUAGCAACACAGGAUCCAAACUGCAUCUUUGACCUACACCGAAGCUCACAGCAAUGCCAGAUCCUUAAUUCACUGAGCGGGGCCAGGGAUCAACCCCGCCUCUUCAUGGACACUAUUCAGGUUCAUUACCGCUGAGCCAAGAUGGGAACUCCCUGAAUCUCUGCUUUUAACCACUGUGGUUUAUUUCCUCAGCCCCUUAGUCUCUUCAUCUGCAAAACAAAGAGGUAGCAUGGAAUAGUGUUCAAGGGUUUGGAUUCUCACAUCAGGGAGAUCUGGGUUCAAAUCCUAGUUCUGCCGUGCACUAGGUGGCUGUUAUCACAUCCUCUCAGAGCCUCAGUUUUCUCAUCUGUACAAUGGAGACAAAAUUACCUACCUCGGAGUUUCCUGGUGGCUCAUCGGGUUAAGUAUCCCAUGUUGUUAUUGCUGCAAUUUGGAUAGCUGCUGUGGCGUGGGUUUGAUUCCUGGUCCAAGAACUUACAUAUACUGCAAGUGUGGCCAAAAAAAUGUUUUUUUAAAGGCCGAGGCUGUUGAGGAGUUCUGGUCGUGGCUCAGGAUAAAUGAAUUUGACUAGCAUCCAUGAGAUGCAGGUUCGAUCCCUGACCUCACUCAGUGGGUUAAGGAUCGGUGUUGCCAUGAGCUGUGGUGUAAUUUGCAGACGUGGCUUGGAUCCCGAGUUGCUGUGGUAUAGGCCGGAAGCUGUAGCUCAGAUUCAACCCCUAGCCUGGGAACCUUCAUAUGCUGUGCGUGCCGCCCUAAAAAGACAAAAAAGACCAAAAAAACCAAAAACAAAAAAAAACCCCAAAAACCAAAAAAGACUCAGGAUGUUGAGAUAUUAGAAGAGAAAAUGCAUGCCACUGCCUAUACCAGUGAUUGUUCAGUAAAUGUUAAAAGGUUGUGGGGAAAAAAUAAAACACAAGGUAGCAGGGCUGGGAAUAGUCCCAUAUGAAUACAGGUGGGCCCUGAGGUGGGGAAAUAAUUUAGAGAAUUUUUGAAAGGAACACAGCGACAUCUGCCGGCCAAUUUGCAAUCUUCCAGCUCAAGGCAGUUCACGGUUUGAAUGUUAGAAUGGAGCUCCAUUACUUUAGAUGUUGUCAUAACUUUAUGAAGCUAGGUUUAUGGCAGCUGUUCUGAUAAAAAGCAAGUAUCAUUCAAGAAUGAUUGUGGACCAGGAAAUGAAGGUGGUCAUAUCCAACCUAAUUCCAAGGUCUAAGCAGUUGUGUAGAGCCCAGCAAGUCCACUUAUCUCAUUAGGAAAUACUUCUGAUUUAAGAAGGAACUGAAAUAUUAUUUUUCUUUCAAUUUAUGUGCAUUUUCAAGUGGCUACUAAGUUGUCAGGACAUAAAUAUUUAUUGAGUUGUUUUGACCUACUUAUUAAACAUAACUGUAACUUUUUUUUUGCCAAGGGUUGGGGGGUGGGUAGGAGAUGUUAUAAAAAAAAAAGCACUGAGGCACUGAAGGUGCUUAGAACAAAGAAAGGUUGGAAUCUCUGCAUUAGGCUCUUCACAAAAAGUUGUCUUAAGGACCCCUAGCCUGGGGACUUCCAGAUGCUGUGGGUGCAGCCCUAAAAAGCAAAAAUAAAUAAAUAAAUAAAUGAGGAUUUUUAAAAAAGAAGCCGUUUAAAAACAAACAAAAAGUUAUCUUAAGCCAGCCUUUGAGAUCUAUACCUCUGUUUUAUAAAUGAAUCCAGAAAGAGGAACUCAGUGCCUGAGGUCAUGGGUGGUGGUGGGGGAGAUGUCUGUGAAAUUCACACUAGGUCCUCUGUGAUUCUCAAGAAGGCAAAAUGCCCCUCCCAACCUCUGAGUCCGUUCAGAUGGGUCCCUGAUUUCAGGGAAGGGCAGGCUACUGGCUGGAACUGCCCCUUCGGUUUGCCAAGCAUCGGAAACCCUUCUCAUUCAUCAGUGGGGGCUCUACUCAGGGGGCCAUAGGUGGUCGGCUCUGUGUGCACUGGGAGCUGAAGCUAGGCCCUGGGAGCCUCUCUCCUUAGAUGCCCUGGAGGGUCUCCCCCUACUGUUGUUGGUCCCCAUCCCACCAAACCUACCUUCAGUCCCAGAGUCACCGGCUCAGCCACCUGGCAGCCGGGGACGCAGCAGUUAAUGGAUUCAAAGUUGUGCAAACAGCUGCAGGUGGCUCGCAGUCUCCUGGAUGGGGGGCAGCAAGGAGGGAAAGCCCUGAAACCAUGAAGACACAGCGCACAGCAUCCUCUCUGUCCUUUAGCCUGGACUUGAGAGCAUUCGAUUCUGAAGCUACUUGCCUUAGAGGAAAAGAGAAAGAAGCACUGGAAGAAAGGUGAGGGCCCAUUUUCCCCAAGGGGCAACUGCCAGUGUCAACCUAGGUCAUCAGACUGCCCAGUUCUGGGGAACUCUGAGCAAGCCCUUCAACCCCUUUGAGCCUCUGUUUUCUCCUCUGUAGAAUGGGAAUAAAACCAGUAUCUACUUCAUAGAGUGGUUCUGAGAACUUCAUACAUUACUAAAGCCUAGGGCAGAGCUAAGUAUAUAUGGCUGGUGCGCAAUGAAAUUAAACUAUUCAUUCCAUAGACAUUGACUGAGCACUUAAGAAGUAUGGACGAGGCAACAUUCUAGGCACUGGGAAUUCAGCAGUGAACAAGGCAGACAAAAGCCUCGCCCUGGUGGGGGUGGGGGUGGAGGUCUCACAUUCUAGCAGAGGCAGACAGCCCAUAAAUAAACAGCCUAUGUAAGGAAACUACAGAGAGGUGCUGUCCAAUAGAGAUAUAAUGUGAGCCACCAAUGUAAUUUAAAAGUUUCUGGUGGUACCAUUAUAAAAGUAAACAGGAACAGGUCAAAUUCUUUUUUUCUGAUUUUUAAUUUAAAAUUUUCAAAAAUUUAGUUUUCAAAUGAAAAAUUUUCACCCAAUAGGGACUUUCCCUGUGGCUCAGAGCAUGGCUACUUGGUGCUGUUUCUGCAGUGGCUCUGGUUCAAUCCCUGGCCCAGGAACUUAUGUGUGCCGAGGGUGUGGCCCCAUGUUUAAAACAUUUUUUUUUUUCACCCAAUAGAUUCAAAAUAUUAUCAUUUCAGCCAGAGGCAUAAGCCACAUUUCAAGUCCUCAGUGGCUUCACAGGCCUCAUAAUUGCCGAGCUUGUUAGGUGGGUGCAAAAAUGAAGACUUGAUCAGCCCUCUUUCCCUUCGCUGGCCUGGCCUGCAGGGCGGGGUUUCUGGCCAUGCAUGACCCCUGAGAGACGACCCUGCCAGGGGUGGGGGGGCAGCCCCUCAGCACAACCCUGUCUACUCCAGGCAAUGGCCUGCACCCCUGGUUCUGAGAGCUUAGGGCCACCUCAGGGGAGAGACGGCAGGAAUUUGUGUCCAGGCUCCAACCUGAGGAGGGAAGAGGUGGGUGGGGGUGUGUGAUUGAGUUUCUGGCCAGGGCUGGGAUCAGUGGGAGGUGAGUGGAUGUUGUAACUUACCUUUACUUAAAAAACUGUGAUGCUUCUUUUGUUCAUCACAGAUUUUUUGCAUUAAUGAAAACAUACAAUUUAUUGAUUUGUAUAUCAUAAAAUUUGCCAUUUGAAAGUGCAUGGUCAGGAGUUCCCGCUUAGGCUGUGACUGCGGCUCUGGGAUCUGAUCCCUGGCUUGGACACUCCAUAUGCUGAGGGGCAGCCAAAAAUGAAAAUAAAAAAAAUAAAAAUAAAAAUAAAGUGCAAGGUUCACUGGUUUUUAGUAUAUUCAAAGUUGUGUAACAUCACCCAAUCGAUAUCAGAACACUUCCAUCACCCCCAAAGAAACCCCGCACCCAUUAAGCAGAAUUCCCUGUCUGCUGACCUCAGCCCCUGGCAAUCACUAAUUUACUUUCUGUCUGUAUGGAUAUGCCUAUUCUGGACAUUUCCUAUAAAUGGAAUCAUACACAUCUUUUGUGUCUGGACUUUUUUACUUAGCAUGUUUUCUAGAUUCACCCCUAUCAUUGCAUGAAUCAGGACUUUAAUUCUUCCUUCCUUCCUUCCUUCCUUCCUUCCUUCCUUCCUUUCUUCCUUUCUUUCUUUCUUUCCAGGGAUCAAACCUUCAUCACAACAGCAACCCAAGCUGCUGCAGUGACAACACUAGAUACUUAACCCACUGUGCCACAAGGGAACUCUAGGACUUCAAUCCUUUUCAAUGGUGAAAUAAUAUGCCACUGCACAGAUAGACCACAUUUCUUCUAUCUAUUCAUUAGCUGAUGGAUAGUUAUGUUUUCUCCAUCUUUUGGCUAUUUUGAAUAACACUGUUGUGAACAUUCAUGUGUAAGUUUUAGUGUGGACUUUUGAAUCCUUGGGUUUUACCUUAAUUUUGUUGUUGUUUUUGGCUUUUGGGGGCCACAC